UGCCAAUGAUGUGGAUAAUCCCAAAAAAGUUCUUUGAACCGCUCCCAAGCAUGAUAUAAAUUCUCAUCUAGCUUCUAUUUGAAUCACAUAAUAUCACUACAUAGUCU